rnacentral:rRNA from 1 species
UGGGGAAUAUUGCACAAUGGGCGAAAGCCUGAUGCAGCAACGCCGCGUGAGUGAUGAAGGUCUUCGGAUUGUAAAGCUCUGUCUUUUGGGACGAUAAUGACGGUACCAAAGGAGGAAGCCACGGCUAACUACGUGCCAGCAGCCGCGGUAAUACGUAGGUGGCGAGCGUUGUCCGGAUUUACUGGGCGUAAAGGGUGCGUAGGCGGAUGUUUAAGUGAGAUGUGAAAUACCCGGGCUUAACUUGGGUGCUGCAUUUCAAACUGGAUAUCUAGAGUGCAGGAGAGGAGAAUGGAAUUCCUAGUGUAGCGGCGAAAUGCGUAGAGAUUAGGAAGAACACCAGUGGCGAAGGCGAUUCUCUGGACUGUAACU